GACACGGUCCAAACUCCUACGGGAGGCAGCAGUGAGGAAUAUUGGUCAAUGGUCGGCAGACUGAACCAGCCAAGUCGCGUGAGGGAAGACGGCCCUACGGGUUGUAAACCUCUUUUGUCGGAGAGUAAAGUACGCUACGCGUAGUGUAUUGCAAGUAUCCGAAGAAAAAGCAUCGGCUAACUCCGUGCCAGCAGCCGCGGUAAUACGGAGGAUGCAAGCGUUAUCCGGAUUUAUUGGGUUUAAAGGGUGCGUAGGCGGCACGCCAAGUCAGCGGUGAAAUUUCCGGGCUCAACCCGGACUGUGCCGUUGAAACUGGCGAGCUAGAGUACACAAGAGGCAGGCGGAAUGCGUGGUGUAGCGGUGAAAUGCAUAGAUAUCACGCAGAACCCCGAUUGCGAAGGCAGCCUGCUAGGGUGAAACAGACGCUGAGGCACGAAAGCGUGGGUAUCGAACAGGAUUAGAUACCCUGGUAGUCCACGCAGUAAACGAUGAAUACUAACUGUUUGCGAUACAAUGUAAGCGGUACAGCGAAAGCGUUAAGUAUUCCACCUGGGGAGUACGCCGGCAACGGUGAAACUCAAAGGAAUUGACGGGGGCCCGCACAAGCGGAGGAACAUGUGGUUUAAUUCGAUGAUACGCGAGGAACCUUACCCGGGCUCAAACGCAGGGGGAAUGUCGGUGAAAGCCGGCAGCUAGUAAUAGUCACCUGCGAGGUGCUGCAUGGUUGUCGUCAGCUCGUGCCGUGAGGUGUCGGCUUAAGUGCCAUAACGAGCGCAACCCCUAUGGACAGUUACUAACGGGUGAAGCCGAGGACUCUGUCUAGACUGCCGGCGCAAGCCGCGAGGAAGGUGGGGAUGACGUCAAAUCAGCACGGCCCUUACGUCCGGGGCGACACACGUGUUACAAUGGCAGGUACAGAAGGCAGCCAGUCAGCAAUGACGCGCGAAUCCCGAAAACCUGUCUCAGUUCGGAUUGGAGUCUGCAACCCGACUCCAUGAAGCUGGAUUCGCUAGUAAUCGCGCAUCAGCCAUGGCGCGGUGAAUACGUUCCCGGGCCUUGUACACACCGCCCGUCAAGCCAUGGAAGCCGGGAGUACCUGAAGCAUGCAACCGCAAGGAGCGUACGAAGGUAAUACCGGUAACUGGGGCUAAGUCGUAACAAGGUAGCCGUACCGGAAGGUGCGGCUG
rnacentral:rRNA from 1 species